UAGGUCUCACUUUUUGUCACAACUUUUUUAAACUACGACCAACUGUUUUACAACCAAAGGUCUUGAAUUGAAAUUAAUUAACUGUAUACUCGAGAGUGAAAUAUCAACAGAAAGAUUAUCCAUAAUAUUAAGCAAUAAAGAAACUGAUGACGAGCACAAAAGCAGUGCUGAUUACAUGCAGAAAGUUUAUAAAAAUAUUUGCACUGCCCUUGGUUUUGUGUGCUCCGAAAUAAGCAGAUUUUCAUU